GUGCCACCACUGCCUCCUGCCUGUUCCCAGCCAAUGCCAGCUCCGAGCAGGCUCCGUGUUGGUCCCCAGGAUGUCACAGAGGCAGCAGACGGGUCAGGGCUGCAGACAGAUGGGUGGGAGAACACGGAUAAUUAACCCAGCAGCAAAAUGGAACACAAUGGAAGAAGCUGAAAGCCCUCAGAGACCUGAGCAGUCUGACCUGUGUCCAUAAGAAACUCAAAGCAAACACAAACCUUCAGUCUGUCCUGGCUUAAGAAAUCCCUGAGUGGGAUUUUAAGGCUCUUUGCAGUAAUUUUCCUCAGUUUACUGCAGUGCAACAUUUCCCCUUGGAGCUGUGUCCCCAAACAGCUCUGUCUAUAGGGCCUCUGCAGUGCCAUGGAUCCACACAGGGAAUCUCACCAGCUCCCCGGAUCCACAUAAGGAAUCCCUCCUGCUCCUCCAAGGCCCUGUGUGACCACAAGCACCUGCUCACCGGGGGCAGCUGCAGUCUGGGCAGAGAGCAGGAGCCUGAGCACAGCUUUCUGUGGAGUUCAAUAGGCUGCCCCUAAGCUACAUCUCGGCAGGUGAACUGCACUCAAGGGAGGCUGCAGCACGACCCCAAGGGCAGUACCAGUGGUGAUGCAGAAGUAGGUCUCGUGUGGAGACACGUGAUGGAUCCUGUGGUGCUUCCUGGGCAGGAUAAUGUGCCAGUCCUGCAGGAAUAUGACCCAGCGUGGGAGCCCAAAGUACGUGUGGGACCACUUGUGGAUCUGGUUCGUCAUGGUGAUGAAGAUGAUGAGCGCGAAGACGUAACACUCCCAGGGACACGUCUCAUAUAAUGCCUCUGCAAAACAAGAGGUGCAUCUUUAAACACCGGUUCUGAAAAGGCAAAUUUCUACUAGGGCUGGUGCCACAGGAGCUAACAAAGGCCUCAACGAAGCUGCUUUGGCAGAAGUGUCACAAGAGCCAGUGAGCCAUAAGCAAUUCCCAAAUGUCACAAGACAGGCUGGGAAGUGCCAAUAUCUGUGAAUGCACCAUAAACAGGAAGUCAAACUGAGUUGACCAUCUAUAAAAUGAAUUUAAUCCUUUAGUUUUUGACUUCUAGUUUGCACAUAAAGUGCUUUCGCACAGAGAUGAA